AACGCGAAGAACCUUACCUGGGCUCGAACGGCUGCUGAACGGUGGUGGAAACAUCAUCCUUCCCGCAAGGGACAGUAGUCGAGGUGCUGCAUGGCUGUCGUCAGCUCGUGUCGUGAGAUGUUGGGUUAAGUCCCGCAACGAGCGCAACCCUUGUCCUGUGUUGCUAAUCCGCAAGGAUGCACUCUCAGGAGACCGCCAGCGAUAAGUUGGAGGAAGGUGGGGAUGACGUCAAGUCAUCAUGGCCUUUAUGUCCAGGGCUACACACGUGCUACAAUGGACGGUACAAAGCGCGGCAAACCGGCGACGGGGAGCUAAUCGCAGAAAACCGUUCUCAGUUCGGAUUGCAGGCUGCAACUCGCCUGCAUGAAGCUGGAAUCGCUAGUAAUGGCAUAUCAGAACGAUGCCGUGAAUACGUUCCCGGGCCUUGUACACACCGGAGUA
rnacentral:rRNA from 1 species